UACGGGGGGGGGCAAGCGUUUGUUCGGAAUUACUGGGCGUAAAGGGCUCGUAGGCGGCCAACUAAGUCAGACGUGAAAUCCCUCGGCUCAACCGGGGAACUGCGUGUGAUACUGGCGGGCUUGAAUUCGGGAGAGGGAUGUGGAAUUCCAGGUGUAGCGGUGAAAUGCGCAGAUAUCAGGAGGAACACCGGUGGCGAAGGCGACUACCUGGCCUGUUCUUGACGCUGAGGCGCGAAAGCUAGGGGAGCAAACGGG
rnacentral:rRNA from 1 species